GCCAAGUCGAGCGCCCCGCAGGGGAGCGGCAGACGGGUGAGUAACGCGUGGGAAUCUACCCAUCUCUACGGAACAACUCCGGGAAACUGGAGCUAAUACCGUAUACGUCCUUUUGGAAAAGAUUUAUCGGAGAUGGAUGAGCCCGCGUUGGAUUAGCUAGUUGGUGGGGUAAUGGCCUACCAAGGCGACGAUCCAUAGCUGGUCUGAGAGGAUGAUCACCCACAUUGGGACUGAGACACGGCCCAAACUCCUACGGGAGGCAGCAGUGGGGAAUAUUGGACAAUGGGCGCAAGCCUGAUCCAGCCAUGCCGCGUGAGUGAUGAAGGCCCUAGGGUUGUAAAGCUCUUUCAACGGUGAAUAUAAUGACGGUAACCGUAGAAAAGCCCCGGCUAACUUCGUGCC
rnacentral:rRNA from 1 species